rnacentral:rRNA from 1 species
AACGAACGCUGGCGGCGCGCCUAAUACAUGCAAGUCGAGCGAGAAGACGUAGCAAUAUGUUUGUAAAGCGGCGAACGGGUGAGGAACACAUGGGUAACCUACCCUAGAGUGGGGAAUAACUAGCCGAAAGGUUAGCUAAUACCGCGUACGCUCCUUGGACUUCGGUACAGGGAGGAAAGCGAUACCGUGGGUAUCGCGCUCUUGGAUGGGCUCAUGUCCUAUCAGCUUGNGGUGAGGUAACGGCUCACCAAGGCUUCGACGGGUAGCUGGUCUGAGAGGACGAUCAGCCACACUGGCACUGCGACACGGGCCAGACUCCUACGGGAGGCAGCAGUAAGGAAUAUUGCGCAAUGGGCGAAAGCCUGACGCAGCGACGCCGCGUGGGGGAGUGAAGGU